rnacentral:rRNA from 1 species
AAGUCUCAGUUCGGAUCGCAGGCUGCAACCCGCCUGCGUGAAGCCGGAAUUGCUAGUAAUCGCGGAUCAGCAUGCCGCGGUGAAUACGUUCCCGGGCCUUGUACACACCGCCCGUCACACCAUGAGAGCCGGGGGACCCGAAGUCGGUAGUCUAACCGUAAGGAGGACGCCGCCGAAGGUAAAACUGGUGAUUGGGGUGAAGUCGUAACAAGGUAAC